AUUGAACGCUGGCGGCAUGCCUUACACAUGCAAGUCGAACGGCAGCACGGGAGCAAUCCUGGUGGCGAGUGGCGAACGGGUGAGUAAUAUAUCGGAACGUGCCCAGUCGUGGGGAUAACGUAGCGAAAGCUACGCUAAUACCGCAUACGAUCUAUGGAUGAAAGCGAGGGAUCGCAAGACCUCGCGCGAUUGGAGCGGCCGAUAUCAGAUUAGGUAGUUGGUGAGGUAAAGGCUCACCAAGCCGACGAUCUGUAGCUGGUCUGAGAGGACGACCAGCCACACUGGGACUGAGACACGGCCCAGACUCCUACGGAGGCAGCAGUGGGGAAUUUUGGGACAAUGGGCGCAAGCCUGAUCCAGCAAUGACCGCGUGCAGGAUGAAGGCCUCGGUU
rnacentral:rRNA from 1 species